GAUGAACGCUGGCGGCGUGCUUAACACAUGCAAGUCGAACGGUGAAAGAGAGCUUGCUCUCUGUAUCAGUGGCGAACUGGUGAGUAACACGUGAGCAAUCUGCCCCUUACUCUGGGAUAAGCGCUGGAAACGGCGUCUAAUACCUGAUACGAGCUACGAACUCAUCUUCAGCAGCUGGAAAGAACUUCGGUCAGGGAUGAGCUCGCGGCCUAUCAGCUAGUUGGUGAGGUAACGGCUCACCAAGGCAUCGACGGGUAGCCGGCCUGGGAGGGUGACCGGCCACACUGGGACUGAGAGACGGCGCAGACUCCUACGGGAGGCAGCGGUGGGGAAUAUUGCACAGUGGGAGAAAGCCUGAUGCAGCAACGCCGCGUGAGGGAAGACGGCCUUCGGGUUGUAAACCUCUUUUAGCAGGGAAGAAGCGAAAGUGACGGUACCUGCAGAAAAAGCACCGGCUAACUACGUG
rnacentral:rRNA from 1 species